UACAGAGGUCUCAAGCGUUGUUCGGAUUCAUUGGGCGUAAAGGGCGCGUAGGCGGCGCGGUAAGUCGGGUGUGAAAUCUCGGAGCUUAACUCCGAAACUGCAUUCGAUACUGCCGUGCUUGAGGACUGGAGAGGAGACUGGAAUUUACGGUGUAGCGGUGAAAUGCGCAGAUAUCAGGAGGAACACCGGUGGCGAAGGCGGAUCUCUGGGCCAUUACUGACGCUGGGGUGCGAAAGCGUGGGGAGCAAACAGG
rnacentral:rRNA from 1 species